rnacentral:lncRNA from 1 species
ACGAGGCGCCUGCAGGCCAGAGAAGGUGCAAACAUUCUGAGCACCUCAGUGUCCUAGUCCCCUACCCCGCGCAGGCGCAGAACAUACCUAGGUAGGCGGAGUCAGGUGUAGAGCGAUAGCUAUGUGUGGGCGAGCGUGCGGGUAGUCCGUGCGUGGGCGAGCCCGGAAGACUGUCGCUGGACGACAAGGACCGGUUCAAAGAGGACAGCGAUCGACUGGUGUGCAGCAGGUUCGACUGCUUUGUGAUCUUCCGAAAGAGAGAGCUCCGCUUCUUGCUGGAGGACAAAUACCAAAAGGGUCACUAUGUACUUCGGGCUACCCUAGAACUCUUUGUAUAGAUAGGACUGGCUCUGCACUCACAGAGAUCACCCUGCUUCUUCAAGGAUUAAAGGCAUGCGGCCCUUUGUCUUUGGGGCUAGAGAGAUGACUCAGCAGUUAAGAACCGUGGCUGCUCUUCCAGAGGACCAGACUGGCUUUUCAGCAGUAUGUGGCAUCUAACAACCACCUGUAACUCUAGUUCCAAAGAAUCUGGCGCCCUCUUCUGGCCUCUGCAGGCAUCAAGCACACAUGGAGUACACAUAAACAGAAGCAAUCAAAAUGCUAAUACAAAUUUAAAACAAUAAAAACUAAAACAAAACUGGUCUGUUGGGGCUGGAGCCAUGGACAGUUGGUUAAGAGGGUAUAUUGCUCUUGAUCGCCUCUGUUAGACAGCUAACUCACAAUGCCUGUAACUCUAGCAUCUAGGCAAUCCAACCAAUACCCUCUUCUGGCCUUCAGAGGCACAUCCACAAUCA